GGAAAGAUGGCCGAGCGGCCGAAGGCACGUCCCUGCUAAGGACGCAUACCCGAAAGGGUAUCGAGGGUUCGAAUCCCUCUCUUUCCG
rnacentral:tRNA from 1 species